rnacentral:rRNA from 1 species
AUUGAACGCUGGCGGCAGGCCUAACACAUGCAGGUCGAACGGUAGCACAGGAGAGCUUGCUCUUCGGGUGACGAGUGGCGGACGGGUGAGUAAUGCAUGGGGAGCUGCCCAAUCGAGGGGGAUACCAGCUGGAAACGGCUGCUAAUACCGCAUACGCCCUGAGGGGGAAAGGUGGGGACCUUCGGGCCUACCGCGAUUGGAUGCACCCAUGUGGGAUUAGCUAGUUGGUGGGGUAACGGCUCACCAAGGCGACGAUCUCUAGCUGGUCUGAGAGGAUGACCAGCCACACUGGAACUGAGACACGGUCCAGGCUCCUACGGGAGGCAGCAGUGGGGAAUAUUGCACAAUGGGGGAGACCCUGAUGCAGCCAUGCCGCGUGUGUGAAGAAGGCCUUCGGGUUGUAAAGCACUUUCAGUGGGGAGGAAGGGGAGUAAGUUAAUACCUUACUUCAUUGACGUUACCCACAGAAGAAGCACCGGCUAACUCCGUGCCAGCAGCCGCAGUAA